ACGAUUUUUUGAUUUACUAUAUUAGCUACUAGUAUUGAAAAGACACAAUAUUAGUAAAUGAAUUUGUUGUUUUUUUAUUCGAUGAGAAGAAAAAUCACUUGGCAACCAUAUUUCAACAUUGUAGCAACCACCCAGAAACCCUAGCAAUAACCUGGCACAUAAAUUUAACAUACAACGUUUUUAGAAUCAUUUUAUGUAGAAUAAUAUCUCUGAACACUUUUGCAACCUUUUGCAUCAAUGUUGUGGCAACCUCCCAGACAACCUUAGCAUCACGCCGGUAACUUCUGCAUGGCAAACGCCACUCAAUCUUCCCCCAGAAAGGUUAACAUACUAUGAUUUGGGACAUGCUAAUCUUGCAUUCUAUGUAGUUCAUGAUUUGGGACACGGCCUGUACAAUGUACAGGCCGGGGCUUUGCUGGUGCGGAUUCACGAUUGGCUGCUUAAACGGCUUUCCAUAUCAGCAGCGUCUAGAGGAGAAGAGCCCCGAGAACCGAGGGGAUGAAUGUGAUGGUUUGACCGGCCUGGAUCAUACGGUGCUUUGCUCUCAGUCAUAACUCUGCAGCUCAUAUGCAAAAUGGCCACUGUCACAACACAUCUGCUUCCAAACGAUAAGCCGUGGAGAGUCAGGAAGCGCGGCAGAGCUGAGGACCAGAGGAGCUGCAAUGGAAAUGGAGAGCCCUGGGGGGUGCAAGCUUAGUAAUGACCCAAAGAGAGGACACGAGUCCUUGGCCUUAGCCGGCAGCCACCGCGACAAGCCCGGCCACACUUUAUUUGGUUACAAGAGAUUAAUAGGACUAAGCUGCUCUGCUGGAUAAACCAAGGCUUCAUUGUGAGGGCCGAAUUACUGCCGUGCAGUGAUUCUUUAUGUUUUACUGCCCCGGAGGAAACUGUAAACACUAUCACAUCGCACAAUUCCUCAAGGAGGAGCGAAACAAAUCAGCCUGGAUGCUAAUCCCCACCCUUUGCUUAUUACCAAUACGGUGCCCUUUCAAUACCACUAACCAAUAUAAAAUAAAAUGAAAUAAAAAUGCUAUGUGCCUGCUAAGGAGUUCUGAAUGUUUUAGCAUAUUGCUAUGCUGUUGCUAAGGUGUUCUAUGUGCUUCUACUGGGUUGAAAUGCAUUUGCUGAGGUGUUAAGAGUGUUAGCAUAUUGCUAAAGUGUUCUGUGUGUUUAAACACAUUGUUAAUCAGUUGCUAAGGUGUUCAGAGUGUUUUUAGUAUGUUGUUGUGCGGUUGCUAAGGUGUUCAGAGUGUUUUUAGUAUGUUGUUGUGCGGUUGCUAAGGUGUUCAGAGUGUUUUUAGUAUGUUGUUGUGCGGUUGCUAAGGUGUUCAGAGUGUUUUUAGUAUGUUGUUGUGCGGUUGCUAAGGUGUUCAGAGUGUUUUUAGUAUGUUGUUGUGCGGUUGCUAAGGUGUUCAGAGUGUUUUUAGUAUGUUGUUGUGCGGUUGAUAAGGUGUUCAGAGUGUUUUUAGUAUGUUGUUGUGCGGUUGCUAAGGUGUUCCGAGUGUUUUUAGUAUGUUGUUGUGCGGUUGCUAAGGUGUUCAGAGUGUUUUUAGUAUGUUGUUGUGCGGUUGCUAAGGUGUUCAGAGUGUUUUUAGUAUGUUGUUGUGCGGUUGAUAAGGUGUUCAGAGUGUUUUUAGUAUGUUGUUGUGCGGUUGCUAAGGUGUUCAGAGUGUUUUUAGUAUGUUGUUGUGCGGUUGAUAAGGUGUUCAGAGUGUUUUUAGUAUGUUGUUGUGCGGUUGCUAAGGUGUUCAGAGUGUUUUUAGUAUGUUGUUGUGCAGUUGCUAAGGUGUUCAGAGUGUUUUUAGUAUGUUGUUGUGCGGUUGCUAAGGUGU